GCAGUACCACGGGAAUACAGAGGGUGCGAGCGUUAAUCGGAUUUACUGGGCGUAAAGCGUGCGUAGGCGGCUUCUUAAGUCGGAUGUGAAAUCCCUGAGCUUAACUUAGGAAUUGCAUUCGAUACUGGGAAGCUAGAGUAUGGGAGAGGAUGGUAGAAUUCCAGGUGUAGCGGUGAAAUGCGUAGAGAUCUGGAGGAAUACCGAUGGCGAAGGCAGCCAUCUGGCCUAAUACUGACGCUGAGGUACGAAAGCAUGGGGAGCAAACAGGAUUAGAUACCCCCGUAGUCCCUGUCUCUUAUACA
rnacentral:rRNA from 1 species